rnacentral:antisense_RNA from 1 species
CUUCAGGGACCCGAGCCACAGCGGCCGGUCGGCGGGGCGGUCCGUCCCAUAGGCGGCGAGGAGCGCGCGGGCCUC